GGGGGGCGCCGCUGGGCGGGAGGGUCCGGCAACUCCCUGAAGUGGCGGCACCGCGGAGCGUGGGCGCCGAGAAGGGCGAUUUAAACCUUGCGGGGCUGUGCAGGGGCUCGGCGGCCGGACGCCAGCAGCUAUCAGAAGUGGGGCAGAUCACGAGACUGGCUACACUGCGAACCAUGGCACUGCCAUUCCGGAAGGACUUGGGGGAGUAUAAGGACUUGGAUGAAGAUGAGCUCCUUGGCAAUCUAUCAGAAGCAGAGCUGAAACAGCUCGAAACUGUCCUGGAUGAUCUCGACCCCGAGAAUGCCCUUCUGCCUGCAGGGUUUCGGCAGAAGAACCAGACCUCAAAGUCCGCCACGGGACCCUUUGAUAGAGAGCGUCUCCUUUCUUAUCUAGAGAAGGAGGCACUGGAGCAUAAAGACCGGGAAGACUAUGUGCCCUACACCGGAGAGAAAAAAGGGAAAAUUUUUAUCCCCAAACAGAAACCUGUGCAGUCUUUUACAGAAGACAACAUAUCCCUUGAUCCAGAAUUAGAAGAAGCUUUGACAAGUGCCUCUGAUACAGAAUUGUGUGACCUUGCAGCUAUUCUUGGAAUGCACAAUCUGAUCACAAACUCACAGUUCUGUGAUGUGGUGGGGAGCAGUAAUGGCGUCGACCAAGAACAUUUUUCAAAUGUGGUAAAAGGUGAAAAGAUUCUUCCAGUGUUUGAUGAGCCUCCAAAUCCAACCAACGUUGAAGAGAGUUUAAAGAGAAUUAAGGAAAAUGAUUCCCGUCUUGUUGAAGUUAAUUUGAAUAAUAUAAAAAAUAUCCCAAUUCCAACUCUAAAAGAUUUUGCUAAGACUUUGGAAACCAACACACAUGUGAAACAUUUCAGUCUUGCAGCCACCAGGAGCAAUGACCCCGUGGCUGUGGCGUUUGCAGAUAUGCUGAAAGUGAACCGAACUUUGAAGAGUUUAAAUAUGGAGUCCAACUUCAUCACAGGCACUGGGGUUUUGGCACUGAUUGAUGCUUUGAGAGACAAUGAGACCCUGACAGAGCUCAAGAUUGACAAUCAGAGACAGCAGUUGGGCACAGCUGUAGAAUUAGAAAUGGCCAAGAUGCUUGAAGAAAAUACGAAUAUCCUUAAAUUUGGGUAUCAGUUCACGCAGCAAGGACCCCGAACCAGGGCAGCCAAUGCUAUAACGAAAAACAACGACUUAGCUGUCCAUUGAAAUACUUCUGCCUACUCGCCAUCUCUCCAGCUAAGAAGUGUCCCAGCUCUAACAGAAAAGAGUGCGCAAGAGGCGAGUGGAAGGAGACCACCAGUAAGAGUGCCACGGUAACCUUUGGAAGCCUGCAGAUCACCAGAGGCUCCUGUUGGUGACAGCAGAUGUAAAAAUGUCCUGGGUAGAAGGGAAAAGACUGGAAAUCUUUUUUUAGCCAUAUGCAUUAUUUUCCUAGCUUAAAGUAUUAUGUUUGAUUUGUAAAAUCAGUAAUUAGUAUUUUAUACUUGUAGCCUUUCUACUGAAAUCAUUUUAAUUUAGCUUAAUUGAAUGGUUUAUAAUUUUUAGAUAAAAGUGCAGUUAUAGAAAGUUUCAGAAGUCAUAUAUGUAAGGAUAAUUUGAACACCUUGAGGACCAAUCUUUUUUAAAUCAAAAAGGGACAUUGCUGACCGACCCACUGCUAAUGUUGCUUCUUGUACAUAAAGGAUAGGACAUGGCGGUUUCCUUUUUUAAAAAUCCAUGAAUUUGGGGCCAGGCGGUGGUGGUGCACACCUUUAAUCCCAGCACUCAGGAGGCAGAGCUAGGCGGAUCUCUGUGAGUUUGAGGCCAGCCUGGGCUACAGAGUGAGAUCCAGGUCAGGCACCAAAACUACAGAGAAACCUUGUCUCGAAAAACAAAACAAAACAAAACAAAAUCCAUGAAUUUGGCAAGAGUUUGCUUUUUCCUUAUUAGGGAAAUAAAAUUUCAGAAUUUUAAAAGAUGACUCAGAAUCUGAUAUAUCUACAUAAUCCAAAGCAGGCCUCCAGGAGAUGACCGGUCCUCUUCUGGGGGACAGAACAGCCCCCUGCGUUGCAGGUUUCUAUACUUGUUCAAGGGACCUCAGCUACACUGGGGUUGGUUUUUUGUUUUUUUUGUGUGUUUGUUUGUUUGUUAAUAGUCCUUAAUUCUGCCCCACUGCCUACCUUGUUUGAAAGUAUAGUUAUAGCUAAGGUUACUACAGUAUUUCAUCUUGCUGUGGGCAUUAAAUUUUUGUAAAAGCUAGUGGUUAAAAAAGCAUCCAAGUAGAGAGGUCAUUUCCUUCUCCAUAAAAGGCUCUUGGCCAAUACUCAGUUAGAGUAAAAGAAAAAAAAGAAAGGUGCUUUAGAUACAGGAGGGAAUCCAAGCCCAAAAGCUCACAGGAUGGCAAUUAAGUUAAUGAGCACUGUCAGUCAGAAACUAAAACGUGAGCUGGCUCUGAUGGCUCGCUCCUAGAAUCCUAGCCCCUGGGAAGCUGAGAAAGGAAUGUUUCCAGAUGUUCAAAGCCAGGCUGGACUACAUAGGAAAUUCCAGGUUAGCCUGUGAAUGUGAGAACCUGUGUCAAGAAAAGAAAGAUCUGUACCGUGUGGUAAGACACUAGACCCUUCCUGUGUGACUGCACAGGUGCAAUGCAGCAUUUCAUGAACAGUUAACCCCCACUCCACAGUGGACCAGCCACACAAAAACUGCUACUUUCAGAAACCCAGCCUUAGUAGGUGCUGCCUUUCUUCUUGUACUUUUAAAAAGCCAUAUGGUAAAGAAAGAGAGAGAAAAAAGUUGUAUAGCGUAGGUUAUCUUUCUCACCCAGGCGUUAGAGUGAGGACUUGAGCAGCAUACCUCAGAGUGGGGUUGGGCGAGGCUGCACACUGACGCCCUUCUGAGGAUUUGGGUUUGUGUCUGUGCCCUGUCCCGGGGCAGCUCCUACAGGAGUAGCAGAGGCAAUCACAGCCACAGACAACAGAGAGGAACAGGUCCAGGGAAGUAUGAACAAGUUGACUUGUUUAUACAUUCCACUUCUGUUCCGUAAUGCAUUGUGUAUCUGAAGAAAAUACUUCUUUAUAAGUAACUUAAGUGUGGACUCAUCUGAUGGAAUAGGGAGGCAGAAGCAGGUGGAUCUCUGAGUUUCAGGACUGCUAUUACACAGAGGAAUUCUGUCUUGAAAAAUAAACAAAAAAAAGAAUUAUAAUGGAGAACAGUGUUUACCUUCAUCUUUAAAAGUGUGGCACCUCUUGACUUUUUAGUAACUCAGUAUUUUCAAAUUCCUCUGAGACUUUUAUGACAUAGUAAUAAAUUAGGACUUUGCAACAGUUUUCAUUUUAAGCCAGAGAUUUUCUAAACCCUCGGGUUUUAUGUCAGGUUAAAUGGUUUAUUCUUAGAUAAAAAUAACAUUCACAUUUUUAAAUUGCUCUUUUAAAAAGCUUUAAAUUGCCCAUUUUAUAAAACUGUGUAUUCAUAUUUGUCUUGUUAUAAUUUUCAGUAUGUCCACAUGAAAUUGUAUACGUUAAAUUCAAUGUUAGUGGCUAAUAUUAAUACCUUGAAAGUAGAUUUUGGUGCUAUACAUUUAUAGCUAAAACCUACUGGAGUUUAAAGAAUAAGUAAAAUACAUUUUCUAAAGGUGCCUGUCAUUUCAAAGACCAAAUAAACAUUUUGUGUUAAAAGUAUUAGCAGACUGUUGGUGAUUUUGAGGAGAGUGUCCGUGACCAUUAAGUUGUACAUUAUCCACUAAUCAAAUUAGCCACACACUUUAUACAAGGGGGCACUCCUGAAAAGUUAUGUAAAAGAUAUGUAAAUAGAACUUUAAAAUUUGUUUUCCAACCGAUAAUCCCUUCAUGUGUUUUCCUUUAAAGGCGAUAUAAUAAAAUUAUAACAGAAAAAUGUCUCAAUAAAGUAUUAGUUGUAUGCUA